CUCUGCUGUAGGCCCGGCAAGGCCCCCAGUGAUUACGCUAACUGACUGCGAAAAUGCACAGAGGAGCCCGGCCUCAGCCUCUUCAAUCUAAUCCAAUCUUAAGGAAUGGCAGCUCUGAGUAGCACCGACUGGAUAAUUAUUGGCGCUGACAAGGUAUUAAAAAAAAAAUCAGGGACUACUUGGGAUUUAAAAGCCACGCACGUGAUUCCAAUGCCACUCAGCUCAUGAAAUUUAAUCACUGGACCCCACUGGUGGCAGUUUCUACAGGGGAGACCCAUGGCCACAUGGUGGGGUUUUCAAGUUCUCCAAAGUCAUCGUCCAGCUUCAAGUCUAAAGAAAUCCAUUCAUUUCUUAUUGCUAAGAAAACAGGGAAGAUUUUUACAUCUAAACACGAAGGUCCUGUGUGCUGGGCCUCAUCACCCGGAGAGAGAGGCUGCGCCCGGCUUCCCAGUCCCUGGCAUCCUGCAGGCUGCAGGCAGUGAGGUUCAGGAACAGGUUCUGACUUCCUGGCAUUUCUUCUGGAAACUUCUUGGGACCCUCCUGUGUCUCCUAAAGAAAGGCUUGAGUCAAAGGGCAAGACUGCCCUACUAGGCAGGGGACAUUCAGAUGCCAGCGCCUCCCUGACUAUGAAGGGACUGACAGAGAGGCUACUGAGUCUUCCUCAUGACAGCCAAUUGUCAGUUUUAUCCCCCAACUCCCAGCCCCAGGCCUCACAACUAGUGGGUCUGCAUUCCUCACACACAGUGGGUCUGCAUUCCUCACACACAGUGGGUCCAGUUCCUCCCACACAGUAGGUGCCUGUUGCCUGGCAAGCACCAGUGCCCAGUGGUUGCUGAAUGACUCUGUCGGAGCGCUCUGCCUUGCUCCCUGUCGGGGCCUGCGUCUGUCAUGUCUUUUCCAGUUGAGCUUGCAGGGAAGGUCAGCAGAUCCUCUCACAUCCCGCUGAGACAAGAAGUUCGGCGUGCAGGAGCAAGGCAGUCAGACUAGAAGGGCAGCUCGUUCUGUGAGAGGUAUUGUCGGGGUGAAGCUGCUCACAAAAGCCCUAAUAGUUGCUGGACUGACCGCCAAAAUUGAUGUGACUUCCAUCAUCACAGCAGGGAAGGCCCCUGCACACCUGUGUGGCCUCCGUUUGCAAUUCCUAGUUCCCAAAAACUACAUCUCCACUGCCCAGCGUCCUCUUCCUGGCUGCCAUGUGGAGGGAGAUGUGGAAGCUCACCGAGGUCUGGGACCUGCCCGUGCCAAGCCAAAGCCCACCGUCCUGGGCCAUUUUCACCUCUACAGAAUUUCAAACAUUAAAAAAUAUGUAUUGUGUGGUUUAGAUGUUUAAAUUCUUACUGUUCGUUCUGUGUCUUAGAUUUUGCUAUGAGGAACUGAAGUUUUAAUGGUGAUGUCAGAUGGAGAAUAUGUCUCCUUUUGCUUAAAGGUAGGCACAGCUUGAAGAAAUGCCUUGAAAACAUCAGUGCCUCAUGUCAAGUUUCCACCAUCUCCCAGUUGGGUGGUUGCCUCAUGUCAAGAUUCCAUCAUAUCCCAGUUGGGUGGUCUCAGAUAGUUUAUUUGUUCUAGCUGAGCCUUCAUUUCCUCAUCUAAAAAUGGGAUAAUAAUGGUACUUUUCACAAGGUUGGGUGAGGAUUCUGUCUGAUAUGUCUAGGAAGGAACCCAGCACAGAGCUUCCCUGUCUCAAGAGGUCAAAGAAGUUUGGAUUGAUGGCUUCCCCUGCCCUGGGGCACAGUUGGCGGGUUAGCAAAUCGACAGAGAGGGAACCGCGGCCAUGGGAGGAAUGCCCCAUCUCUCCUUUGGGAAGAUGGACUUUUCAGUCAUUCUGACCUAGAUUCACCCUCUGAAUAUCUUUGAGUUUCAAGGGCUUCUAAUUGGUGAUGGAUUUGCAGGCUCGUUCUCUCCAAGCCCCAGAUCCUGGUUGACAUUGGCUACAGUAAGCCAUGCUCUCGGCUAUAGAGUUUCCAUAACCCAAGUCUCAUUGUUUUUUUUCCAUGAAGUUGAGCAUCUGGUUGUCUGGGGACAGUCUAUCUGUGAGAAUUCCAGAUAGACAUUUUUGGUUUUUACCCAGCUGUUGGGUGUUAUGUUGACACUGGUCUGGCCGCUGGUCCCAGAGGCCCAGGCUCAGGGGCUGUCUUCAGCAUAAGGUUUGAGAGUCAACAAGAGUCAUGGGAUACUUGUGCAAGAUGAGGGAGCAGCCUGAGCCGAGGCCUGUAGAGCCACACACAGGGAGCGUUUAGGAGAACAGCCACGAGCCCAGCUUGGAUGAGCCGGGAGACUCCACGGUGGAGAGGGUCAGGCAGGAGACUCCAUGGUCAGGAGACUCCAUGGUGGAGAGGGUCAGGCAGGAAGCAGGGUCACAUGACAGGUCAGGAAGGGGCGCUCAGCCACUGAGACCUUAUCUGGCAGGCAAGAGCAAGCCCUUGGGGGCUUAGUGGGAAGGAGGGCUGGAGUGAGGGCUGUGGCUGGAAAGAGCAAGGAGGCACCUCCUACAAGAUGCUCACCUGGCUCCUGCUGCUCUUGUCUGGGCCUACAGGACACAGGUUUUGGGUGGGGUGGCAGGUGGCCGACUGCCCUUGAAGGAAACCAAGCACCUGCCAUGGAAUCUUCAGGCCAGGACAGAGCCAACUGGCGCAGGAGGUCCACCUGCCCUGUCUGGUUCCUGACAAGGAAGAGAAUUUUCGCUUUCCUAUUAAGGUCAGCUAGCAAAGCAAUGCUUGUCCUGUCUCAGGAGAGGAACAACUCUAGCCCCAUUGCUCUAAGGGCAGCACAGGUAUCUUCUUGGAUUGAGCUGCCCCAAUUCUGCAGGUUUAACUCAAAGUUCCUUGGGACCCACCUGAAGCAGAUGGGGGAAAAACCACCUUUCAG
rnacentral:lncRNA from 10 species